rnacentral:lncRNA from 1 species
AAAACUACUGGAGGUUCAUUUCAUCAAGCCCGUCCCGACUUCCUGUUCCCUAAACGUUCCCUAAAGGUUCCCCCUGUUCUGUGGAGAUCUCAUUCACCUGCAGGUUUUCAUGGUUCCUGCUGUUGUGUGAGUGGAGGAUGGAGGGGGCGGAGCCUGAAACCAGGUCACUGGGUCAACACGGGACUUUCUGACAUUCCACAAAAACACACAUGUAGUGAUCCAGGCAAAGCAGACGGAUGGACGGACAGAGGGACGAGGACCAGGAGGAACAAAGAGGUGAGUAACGACUGACUCGGGUCUGUCAGUGAGCAGCUGUUCAUCCUUUUCACAGCGUCUGUGAUUUGUCAGGAGCUCAAAGUGUUUCUGCUGCUUCAGCUUCUUCAUUGCUUGUCUGUCUGAAAGUGCUGGAGCUUCUCUCUGACAGCAAACGUCCAGCAUGGGUGUCACAUUUUAAGGUGUCAGUCCUCAGUUCCUGCCAGUCCACCUUAAAUCUUAAGGUCUCAUUAGCUCAUUAACACUGAAGCAGAAUCAUGUUCAGCUGUUUGAAUGAACUUCGAGCAGAAAAUAAACUUCAGCAGCCUCAGUGUGUCUGUGUGUGUUUACUUAGCUGUUAAUAAAGUUAACCUGAUCAAACAGACAGAUGACCUCUGACCUCUCUGAGCAGCCAAUCACAGCAGGCUGCAGCUUCCAUGGGACAGGCCUCAGAUACACUGAGACCACUUUAUUGGUUCUGAUCUAGUUCUUCUCUCUGCUCUGACCUUCACUGAAGUUUGUGGCUCCUCCCACAUGACAGCUGAUGUUUGUCAGUCCAGAUGUUCCCACAGUGUGAACGGACCGAACCAGAUGUUCUCAGAUCAGAUCUGUGUGGUCCUGGACCAGAUUCUGAGUGUGUGAGCUCAGUCAGAACAACAGAAACAAUUUGCCUGCGGCACAAAUGAUGUUGUUCUUCACAUGUCAGUUCAGUCUGUGCAUGGAGGCAGUUUAGGAGCUCAGGGUGAUCACACUGGAGCCUGGUCCAUGUCCCUGACAGACAUGGAUCAAA